AGCGAACGCUGGCGGCAGGCCUAACACAUGCAAGUCGAACGAACUCUUCGGAGUUAGUGGCGGACGGGUGAGUAACACGUGGGAACGUGCCUUUUGGUUCGGAAUAACUCAGGGAAACUUGUGCUAAUACCGAAUGUGCCCUUCGGGGGAAAGAUUUAUCGCCAUUAGAGCGGCCCGCGUCUGAUUAGCUAGUUGGUGAGGUAACGGCUCACCAAGGCGACGAUCAGUAGCUGGUCUGAGAGGAUGACCAGCCACACUGGGACUGAGACACGGCCCAGACUCCUACGGGAAGCAGCAGUGGGGAAUCUUGCGCAAUGGGCGAAGGCCUGACGCAGCCAUGCCGCGUGAAUGAUGAAGGUCUUAGGAUUGUAAAAUUCUUUCACCGGGGACGAUAAUGACGGUACCCGGAGAAGAAGCCCCGGCUAACUUCGUG
rnacentral:rRNA from 1 species